rnacentral:rRNA from 1 species
AGUGAACGCUGGCGGUAGGCCUAACACAUGCAAGUCGAACGGCAGCACAGUAAGAGCUUGCUCUUACGGGUGGCGAGUGGCGGACGGGUGAGGAAUACAUCGGAAUCUACUUUUUCGUGGGGGAUAACGUAGGGAAACUUACGCUAAUACCUCAUACGACCUACGGGUGAAAGCAGUGGAUCUUCGGACCUUGCGCGAUUGAAUGAGCCGAUGUCGGAUUAGCUAGUUGGCGGGGUAAAGGCCCACCAAGGCGACGAUCCGUAGCUGGUCUGAGAGGAUGAUCAGCCACACUGGAACUGAGACACGGUCCAGACUCCUACGGGAGGCAGCAGUGGGGAAUAUUGGACAAUGGGCGAAAGCCUGAUCCAGCAAUACUGCGUGGGUGAAGAAGGCCUUCGGGUUGUAAAGCCCUUUUGUUGGGAAAGAAAAGCAGCAGGUGAAUACCCCGCUGUCCUGACGGUACCCAAAGAAUAAGCACCGGCUAACUUCGUG